UCUGUAUGAAAAACAAAAAAGACCACAUGAGCUCAGACUAUUUACCUACAUAAAUAUUCUAUAAAAUAAAGUAGUACUCUAUCACUGCUCUUGUAUUACUUUUUUCUGUUAAGUACUGUAUUAUAAUUUCCUAGAAGGAAUAAACAGUUUUACCAAACCUUCAAUCCACUCACUGUUUUGAAUAUGAUAAUUUGAGUAUUUGAAUAUUGAUCAUUCGGUGCUAAAUUCAUAUGAGACAGAUUGAUAAAUUUUAUUGAAAUAGAUAGAGGAUUAGAAAAUUUAUUUUAAAAUAAGAAGAUUGGUAACUGAAAUAUUUCUGUGUAAAUGACAAAUGAAUUAAACCUGAAUAUAGCAGCAGCAAAGACCGGGAUCUUAAGAAAUUGCAUGGCGACACUUGUCCAUUGUGAUCCGAGGCCUGAAUAUACGAACCAAAUUGGUCGACGGACAUUAGAGAAGUACUGAAUUUCACGGGCAAUUGGUAUGCUUUUAGUCGGCGUAGAUCCUAAAAAUAACACAUAUAUAUGUCAUAUAAACAUGUAACGAGACAAAUUAAAUUAAAUACAAGUACAUUUUAAUGAUAUUGGUUUUAAAGACUACAAUGUUAUUUACAAGAAUCAAUUAAAAAGAAACCUAAAAUUAUAAAAAUAUUUAGUUUCAAUAUGGUUGAUUAUUCUGAAUUUGAAAAAUAUAAUAUUAUUUACCCAACAAUGUAUAUCCUCUAAAAUGGUGUCCUUUGAUAUUUUUAUUAUGUAUAGCAUGAAAUAAUCUCACUUGUUCUACAUCUACUGUCUUGGACUCCAAAUCAUUGAGAAUCUUGGCUACAGCUGACUUAGUUCGACCAGAAACACAGACAAGGCGGGGUAAGUCAUCUUCUGGAAGACCAUUAUUGACCUGGGCAAUAAUUAAGAAAGUGAUGUCAAAAUCUAGAGAUCUAUAUUCAGCAGUAAUGGUAAUCAAAAUAAAAACUAUAUAAAUAAA